UAGCCCUAGGAGCUCGAGGGCUUUACUGUCUCUUACUUCCAAUCCGUGAAAUUGACCUUCCCGUGAAGAGGCGGGAAUAUGACAAUAAGACGAGAAGACCCUAUGGAGCUUUAAUUAACCGACCCAAAGAGAUCUUGAUAAUCAACCGACAGGGAUAACAUACCUCUACCAUGGGCCGACAAUUUAGGUUGGGGUGACCUCGGAGAAUAAAACAACCUCCGAGUGAUUUAAAUCUAGACUAACUAGUCGAAAGUACUACAUCACUUAUUGAUCCAAAAACUUGAUCAACGGAACAAGUUACCCUAGGGAUAACAGCGCAAUCCUAUUUUAGAGUCCAUAUCGACAAUAGGAUUGCGCGCUGUUAUCCCUAGGGUAACUUGUUCGUUGAUCAAGUUUUUGGAUCAAUAAGUGAUGU
rnacentral:rRNA from 1 species